UGCACUGAUGGUUAUAUAUGUGUUAUUCAUGCUGUGAUUCUCAUUUAAAUGUCUAUCUGUCCACUCUACAAGAUAGAAGCAGCUGUUUCCCGCUGGUUCAGUCCACUUCAGUGAUACAGAGGACGUUGUGAAAGCACUAACACAGAGUCACCUGACUACUUCAGGCUCUGUAACGGAGAAGUCAUUACAUGGCUGGAAGUUCAGAGGAAGAUCUAAACUAGACCUACAAAAGAAAUGCAAACCAUUAUUGGAGCUGUUACUCAAACACAGAGUGAGCACAACUACAGCUGUUAUAUGAGGACACAUCGGUGAGAGAUCCAACCUUCUCACUUCAAAGGGCUUCUUCUUCUACAUCUGGAUUUCUACUUCUACUUUCCUUUGAAUUGAUCUUAUCUUAUGAUGAUAGAAGACUCCUUAUUUUACCAGAAGGAGCUGUUUCCCACUGGUUUAGUCCAGCUCACAAAAAUUGACGAUGUUGUGACGUUAACAGCAGAGAGACUCAUGACUACUUCAGACUCUAUGAGUGGAGAGUACAUGAGGAGGAACAAGAAAACAAAAGAACUGCUGAGCCAAGAAAAAUAAGUCGGGACUGCAACAGAUAGAAGCAGCUGUUUCCCGCUGGUUCAGUCCACUUCAGUGAUACAGAGGACGUUGUGAAAGCACUAACACUGAGUCACCUGACUACUUCAGGCUCUGUAAGGGAGAAGUCAUUACAUGGCUGGAAGUUCAGAGGAAGAUCUAAACUAGACGUACAAAAGAAAUGCAAACCAUUGUUGGAGCUGUUACUCAAACACAGAGUGAGCACAACUACAGCUGUUAAAUGAGGACACAUCGGUGAGAGAUCCCACCUUCUCACUUCAAAGGGCUUCUUCUUCUACAUCUGGAUUUCUACUUCUACUUUCCUUUGAAAUUCACUUAUUUUAUGAUGAUAGAAGACUCCUUAUUUUACCAGAUAUCCUCAGCAGACAGUCACUAAUUUACGGUAUGAAAAACAUUUAAAUGCUCACUUACUUGUGUACUUGGUG